rnacentral:rRNA from 1 species
CCUACGGGUGGCAGCAGUGGGGGAUAUUGCACAAUGGGGGGAACCCUGAUGCAGCGACGCCGCGUGGGUGAAGAAGCGCCUCGGCGCGUAAAGCCCUGUCAGCAGGGAAGAAAAUAACGGUACCUGAAGAAGACGCCCCGGCUAACUACGUGCCAGCCGCCGCGGUACUACGUAGGGGGCAAGCGUUAUCCGGAUUUACUGGGUGUAAGGGGGGCGCAGACGGCGAUGCAAGCCAGGAGUGAAAGCCCGGGGCCCAACCCCGGGACUGCUCUUGGAACUGCGUGGCUGGAGUGCAGGAGGGGCAGGCGGAAUUCCUGGUGUAGCGGUGAAAUGCGGAGAUAUCAGGAGGAACACCGGUGGCGAAGGCGGCCUGCUGGACUGCAACUGACGUUGAGGCCCGAAAGCGUGGGGAGCAAACAGGAUUAGAUACCCCAGUAGUC